rnacentral:rRNA from 1 species
AACGAACGCUGGCGGCGUGCCUAACACAUGCAAGUCGAACGAACCCUUCGGGUCUUGUGUCGCCCGGGUGCGUAACGCGAGGGAACCUUCCCUUAUGGUCAGCAUAACUCCCCGACAGGGAUGCUUAUACCGAAUCGUGUCUUCGGCCCAAAGAUUUAUCGACUUUGGUUGUUCCCGAGUUGGAUUCGCUAGUUGGUACGGUAAAAGCCUACCAAGGGGACGAUGCAUAGCUGGUUGGGGAGAAUGAUCAGCGACACUGGGACUGAGACACGGCCGAGACUCCUACGGGAGGCAGCAGUGGGGAAUAGUGGAAAACGGGCGGAAGCAUGAACGAGCAAGGACGCGUGAGCGAUGAAGGCAGUAGGGUUGUAAAGCGCUUGUAACCGGGAUGAUAAUGACAGUACCGGGAGAAUAAGCCACGGCUAACUACGUG